rnacentral:misc_RNA from 1 species
CCUUUCCUCCCCAAUUUGCUC